CGAGUGCAGGGGCAAAGCUGCCGAAAGGCAGCGACGCAAAACCACGGGCCUAAGGGACCUUCGGGUCUACGGUCGCCGGGUCGCCAUU
rnacentral:ncRNA from 1 species